ACCCUUUUGCAGUUCAUGAGCGUGAUGACUGGGUUUUCACUUGCAUGUGUGAGAGGUGCCCCCUUCAAUCCUCGAUACGAUGUCGGCACAUUACCUGCCUGACA